GUUGUGGUGACUCAGUGAUUAAGGCUUUGCAUUACAGAUCAGAAGGCCUGGGUUCAAAUCCCAGUAGUGCCA